rnacentral:rRNA from 1 species
GAUGAACGCUGGCGGCGUGCCUAAUACAUGCAAGUCGAGCGAACGGACGAGAAGCUUGCUUCUCUGAUGUUAGCGGCGGACGGGUGAGUAACACGUGGAUAACCUACCUAUAAGACUGGGAUAACUUCGGGAAACCGGAGCUAAUACCGGAUAAUAUUUUGAACCGCAUGGUUCAAAAGUGAAAGACGGUCUUGCUGUCACUUAUAGAUGGAUCCGCGCUGCAUUAGCUAGUUGGUAAGGUAACGGCUUACCAAGGCAACGAUGCAUAGCCGACCUGAGAGGGUGAUCGGCCACACUGGAACUGAGACACGGUCCAGACUCCUACGGGAGGCAGCAGUAGGGAAUCUUCCGCAAUGGGCGAAAGCCUGACGGAGCAACGCCGCGUGAGUGAUGAAGGUCUUCGGAUCGUAAAACUCUUUUAUUAGGGAAGAACAGAUGUGUAAGUAACUGUGCACAUCUUGACGGUACCUAAUCAAAAAGCCACGGCUAACUACGUG